rnacentral:rRNA from 1 species
AUGUUGGCGAAAUCAUUUGAAGUCAAAGACCUUGGCUUCCUCCACUUCUUCCUGGGAAUAGAAGUAGCUUAUGGAGCUCAAGCCAAUUCAGGAGAACCUGUUGAUAGGGGGAGAUACCAGAGACUUGUGGGACGUUUAAUUUAUCUAUCCCAUACUAGACCAGACAUUGCAUAUGCCGUGAGCCUGGUGAGCAGAUAUAUGCAUGAUCCUCGAUCAGGUCAUCUAGAUGCAGUAAAUAGAAUUCUGCGGUAUCUCAAAGGUUGUCCUGGAAAAGGAAUUCUCCUUUCCAACCAUGGGCAUCUAGAAGUUGAGGGAUACACAGACGCUGAUUGGGCUGGGUGCUUGGAUGACAGGAGAUCCACUUCAGGUUAUUGCAUCUUCUUGGGAGGAAAUUUAGUCAGUUGGAGGAGUAAGAAGCAAAGUGUUGUCGCCAGAUCCACGGCAGAAGCAGAGCUGUGA